ensembl:lncRNA
GCAGGGAGCGCUUGACGCCGGACAGAAGAACUGCGAGAUGAAGAAGGACAGCGCCCUGAGCGGAAUAGGAACCAGUUCUGAACGCGUUCAGCAUCGCAAUGGGACAAUCUCGGUUUCCGCGGAUCUUCAAUCCUAGGACUUGACGUCGUUGGGGCUUUGAUGUGCUGCAGAACUAGUCGACCCUCCAAGCAUGAAUCAGUAGUCUCCUCAAAUCAACAGCGCUACAGGGUCCAGGACAGAGGUCAGAGCCGGCCCAGAGGACCAGGAUGUUCACCGGCUCCACCAAGAACCCCCCCGCCAAGACCCCCCAGCCUGACAGGCUGGAUGAGGUCUACGCAGCCCUGCGACGCGGCCUGCAGUCCUACCUGCAGGUCCACCAGCUCGAGCUGGACAGCCUGGGCCAGCAGAUCAGAGAGAACAAGAGGAACGGCCGUC